UCGGGAAUUUUGGGCAAUGGGCGAAAGCCUGACCCAGCAACGCCGCGUGAAGGAUGAAAUCUUUCGGGAUGUAAACUUCGGAAGAAUAGGAAGAAUAAAAUGACGGUACUAUUUUAAGGUCCGGCUAACUACGUGCCAGCAGCCGCGGUAAUACGUAGGGACCAAGCGUUGUUCGGAUUUACUGGGCGUAAAGGGCGCGUAGGCGGCGUAAUAAGUCACUUGUGAAAUCUCCGGGCUUAACUCGGAGCGGCCAAGUGAUACUGUUAGGCUAGAGUGCAGAAAGGGCAAUCGGAAUUCUUGGUGUAGCGGUGAAAUGCGUAGAUAUCAAGAGGAACACCUGAGGCGAAGGCGGGUUGCUAGGCUGACACUGACGCUGAGGCGCGAAAGCUAGGGUAGCAAACGGGAUUAGAUACCCCCGUAGUCCCUGAGCGGGCUGGCAAGGCGCAU
rnacentral:rRNA from 1 species